CUCCGUUCCAUUGUUUUGUUCUUCGCUCGCCUCAAUUGAGCCCUGCGGCAUGCUGGUCUGUUCUGCCAUACACUCAGAUCACCAGGAGCCUUAACUGGAACAACAGGCGAUGCUUCUCGUUUGCACUUGUUGCUGGUGAUGAUACAGCCGUUCGUUUCCACCUAUCUGCUGGACAUGCAAAUAGCUACUCAACUUGUAGUGGAAAAACAUCCUUACAUCUUGUGCUGCCAAUGACACUGAAUGAUCUCGACUGAAUCUGUAGCCUGGGAUUCCAUUUCCGAGCCAGGAGAGAGCUAGUUCGAUGUGCCUGGACAGUCAAAGUGCCUCUGAAACGUGUACCAUGAAGUAAUCAUGCUGAUAACUGCUUGGGACAAGACGUCGAAAAUGCAGUGGACUAUACACCCGACUAGAAGCUGCUACCAAUGCUUGCAGCUGCAUAUACAUGCUGUUAUGCUGCAACUGGCCAUGAAUUGGCCAUCACGUUCAGUUCUCCAGCAUCUCUGUUAGCUGCCGGCCUCUAAUAUGGUGCAAGGUGAAGCUGAGAGGGAUCUUUGCCAUUUCUCCACUGCCAAUGGAAGAGGAACGCAUUGCUCCUGGGGCCUCAAUGCUACAACGCCACUUUGAGAUCUAAGAAGGAGUUUGCCCAGAUGAAAAACCGGUUCUUGUGGAACACCAUGGAAUGGAAAGGCUGAUCAACCUGAUGAGAAGACCUGCAAUUUUGGAACAGACUUGCUCUGUUUUCUAGUGCGUACUCUGUUUUUCUAGAGCUGGUAUAUUACUCUCCAUUGGUUGUUGCCACAAUGUCUGUGCUACUUUGUACACAAAGAAUGAUGACUGCAUCUGUUGUUAUCCAUUUUCUACAAGUUUGAGUUGAUGAAACAAUACUCCUACUGCCCUGCUA